UGGCGGACGGGUGAGUAAUGUCUGGGAAACUGCCUGAUGGAGGGGGAUAACUACUGGAAACGGUAGCUAAUACCGCAUAACGUCGCAAGACCAAAGAGGGGGACCUUCGGGCCUCUUGCCAUCGGAUGUGCCCAGAUGGGAUUAGCUAGUAGGUGGGGUAACGGCUCACCUAGGCGACGAUCCCUAGCUGGUCUGAGAGGAUGGCCAGCCACACUGGAACUGAGACACGGUCCAGACUCCUACGGGAGGCAGCAUG
rnacentral:rRNA from 1 species